rnacentral:rRNA from 1 species
GAUGAACGCUGACAGAAUGCUUAACACAUGCAAGUCAACUUGAACUUCGGUUUGGGUGGCGGACGGGUGAGUAACGCGUAAAGAACUUGCCUCACAGAUAGGGACAACAUUUGGAAACGAAUGCUAAUACCUGAUAUUAUGAUUAUAUGGCAUCGUAUAAUUAUGAAAGCUAUAUGCGCUGUGAGAGAGCUUUGCGUCCCAUUAGCUAGUUGGAGAGGUAACGGCUCACCAAGGCGAUGAUGGGUAGCCGGCCUGAGAGGGUGAUCGGCCACAAGGGGACUGAGACACGGCCCUUACUCCUACGGGAGGCAGCAGUGGGGAAUAUUGGACAAUGGACCAAGAGUCUGAUCCAGCAAUUCUGUGUGCACGAUGAAGUUUUUCGGAAUGUAAAGUGCUCUCAGUUGGGAAGAAAAAAAUGACGGUACCAACAGAAGAAGUGACGGCUAAAUACGUG